GUCAAGUUGACAUAAAACCAGCCAGUACAGCCUCCAAGCUCACUGUGCCCUGCAUCUUGUGUUCAGUGGUUCUGGUCUUACAUUAUUAGUUGAAAAGCAGUGUCCCAGUUCAAGCCAACAUUACCGAGGCUAAGUCCUUGCUGACAUUCACCAGCGAAGUGACAACAGAUGGGUCACCAUCUACACCAAGCCUUGGUUUCUCUAGAUGCAGAAUGGCGAUGGUGUUCUCUGUCUGGGUGCAAAGACGAGAGAGGAUGAGGACUCAGCCUGUUCCCGAAAAUGUCCCUUUCCUUUUAAAGGGCGGCCCACGUCUACAUGCCACGCAUUGACUCACUCGAAAAACCUACAAUGUUUUGGACCCAGGAGGAAUCCCAGACUUUUGAAAUGAAGCAAGGAACCUCCAGCAGCUGCCAGGUUUCCGAUACUUGCUGCUGUGUCUGAAGGUGGUCAGUUAUUCAGAGAGAGCUCCCAUGCCAUGGCCUGUGCUGCUGACACAGGAAGAAGGUGGUAUGUUGAUCAUUAUUGAAACCUGAAUCAGUGGACAACGGGCAAAACUACAAACCAUCCUGGGCCAUCACCACCUGAGCUGCACUUCUUCAGCGGCACCUGCUAGAAUCUAUGCUAGCUAAAGACAACUAGAAUGUCUGCUGUAAGAAUCACCUGGCCAACUAGAUAACCAUGGGAUGGUCAAUAAGAUAACUGUGGGUUUACAUUGAAAGCCAAUGACAUUUACAGAAACCACAGGAGGGAGCCUCUUAGCUACAAUAUGCCCUCCCUGGUCCUCCAAACAUCAGUCUUUAACCAGGUUCUGUCCUGCCCAGCAGAAGUCAUGAGCAUAACUGGGAGUGUGGCUCAGUGAUAGAGGCUUGCCUGGCAUGCUCGAGUACUAGAUCCUCAGUAUUGCUAACUGCAAAAGAAAAGAAAAAAAAAAAGUGAAGGAAUGGUACACAUUGUUUUCAACUGGGUCUAACAACACUGGUGUUCUGGUGUGUGUGUGUGUGUGUGUGUGUGUGUGUGAGAGAGAGAGAGAGAGAGAGAGAGAGAGAGAGAGAGGGAGAGAUUUCUUCUUGGGGGUAAAGGAAAUGUGUAGAGUGUUGGCAUUCCUCCCUCCCUUUUUUUCUUCCUUCCUGGUGACCCAUGGAAAGAGUCAGUUAUGAGUCACUAGCAAUUUCAUUUACUCUGACACGGAGGCCCCCUUUCUCUCUGCCUCUUUGCAACACACUAGUGUGCUAGCGCUCAGCAGGGCACAAAGCCCCCGACAAUAAUUGAUGAGGACAGGAAACUCCGCUGCUGCCAUAAUCUCGACUCCGAGACGUUGACCCCAGCUUUGGGACUGGGAGUUCUGAAACGCCAUCUCCGCAGCUGUAGUUAUGACUGUUUUAUGUCACACUGACCCAGCGUGUUUACGAUUUUUAACAACUGUCUGGAAAAAAAAAAAGUCUAGUGACAUCUGUUGAGAGUUUAAUUGUGAGUGUAAAAAAAUCAUUAAAGGAAUAGUCAAG
rnacentral:lncRNA from 1 species